AGAAUCAACGCUGGCGGCGUGCCUAACACAUGCAAGUCGAACGAGAAAGUGGAGCAAUCCAUGAGUAAAGUGGCGACCGGGUGAGUAACACGUGGCUAACCUACCUUCGAGUGGGGGAUAACCUCGGGAAACCGAGGCUAAUACCGCAUAACAUCGCAAGAUCAAAGCAGCAAUGCGCUGGAAGAGGGGGUCGCGGCUGAUUAGCUAGUUGGCGGGUAACGCCCACCAAGGCGAAGAUCGGUA
rnacentral:rRNA from 1 species